CACGUAGGGUGCGAGCGUUGUCCGGAAUUAUUGGGCGUAAAGAGCUCGUAGGCGGUCUGUCGCGUCUGCUGUGAAAACCCGGGGCUCAACCCCGGGCUUGCAGUGGAUACGGGCAGACUAGAGUUCGGUAGGGGAGACUGGAAUUCCUGGUGUAGCGGUGAAAUGCGCAGAUAUCAGGAGGAACACCGGUGGCGAAGGCGGGUCUCUGGGCCGAUACUGACGCUGAGGAGCGAAAGCGUGGGGAGCGAACAGG
rnacentral:rRNA from 1 species